AUGGACAAGUUUCUUCUCAAAAGAAAAGCAUCAUCACAGGAUGUUCCGGAAGACAUAAAUUGGGAAGAGGAGAUCCAAUAUGAUCCGGGCAAGAGAAAAUUUAUAGAGCAUUAUCAUCCUAAUUUAAAAGAUCUAGUAAGCAGAAAGUAUCUGUUGAAUGGACCUUGUCAACCAAGAGAGAUUGAUUUUGAAUCCUUAGAUUUUGGGGGUAAACAGAGAAAGUUCAAUCCCGAAUGGUUUGAUGAAUUUGAGAGCUGGGAUCAUAGUCAAAAGAAAGAAGCAGGAUAUGAGGCAUUCGUUGUGAAUGGUUGGAAGAGCUGGAACAUGAAAUCAAGGUUAAAAGAACAUGUUGGUGAGGUGGGCAGUGUCCAUAAUCAAGCAAUGAAAAAAUUACUUGAUUUUCAGAAAAAAAAGACCAACACAUUGAUGUUGCUAUGCAGGUUCAAGGUGAAACUUUGA
rnacentral:rRNA from 1 species